UGGGUAAUAUUGCACAAUGGGCGCAAGCCUGAUGCAGCCAUGCCGCGUGUGUGAAGAAGGCCUUCGGGUUGUAAAGCACUUUCAGCGGGGAGGAAGGCGGUGAGGUUAAUAACCUCAUCGAUUGACGUUACCCGCAGAAGAAGCACCGGCUAACUCCGUGCCAGCAGCCGCGGUAAUACGGAGGGUGCAAGCGUUAAUCGGAAUUACUGGGCGUAAAGCGCACGCAGGCGGUUUGUUAAGUCAGAUGUGAAAUCCCCGGGCUCAACCUGGGAACUGCAUCUGAUACUGGCAAGCGUGAGUCUCGUAGAGGGGGGUAGAAUUCCAGGUGUAGCGGUGAAAUGCGUAGAGAUCUGGAGGAAUACCGGUGGCGAAGGCGGCCCCCUGGACGAAGACUGACGCUCAGGUGCGAAAGCGUGGGGAGCAAACAGG
rnacentral:rRNA from 1 species